rnacentral:rRNA from 1 species
UUGCCUCAGUAACGGCGAGUGAAGCGGCAACAGCUCAAAUUUGAAAUCUGGCGCAAGCCCGAGUUGUAAUUUGCAGAGGAUGUUUCGGGUGAAGCCACGGUCCAAGUCCCUUGGAACAGGACGUCAUAGAGGGUGAGAACCCCGUACCUGGCCGUCGGUGCCCCCCGCUGUGAAACUCCUUCGACGAGUCGAGUUGUUUGGGAAUGCAGCUCUAAAUCGGUGGUAAAUUCCAUCUAAAGCUAAAUACCGGCCAGAGACCGAUAGCGCACAAGUAGAGUGAUCGAAAGAUGAAAAGCACUUUGAAAAGAGAGUUAAAAAGUACGUGAAAUUGUUGAAAGGGAAGCGCUUGCGGCCAGACUUGCCCGCGGUUGCUCAGCCCGCCUUUUGGCGGGUGCACUCUUCCGCGGUCAGGCCAGCAUCGGUUUGGGCGGUCGGAUAAAGGCGUCGGGAACGUGGCCUCCCCUCGGGGAGGUGUUAUAGCCCGGCGCGCAAUGCGGCCAGCCCGGACCGAGGUUCGCGCUUUGCUAGGAUGCUGGCGUAAUGGCCGUAAGCGGCCCGUCUUGAAACACGGACCAAGGAGUCUAACAUCUAUGCGAGUGUUUGGGUGUCAAACCCGUGCGCGUAAUGAAAGUGAACGGAGGUGGGAACCGCAAGGUGCACCAUCGACCGAUCCUGAUGUCUUCGGAAGGAUUUGAGUAAGAGCAUAGCUGUUGGGACCCGAAAGAUGGUGAACUAUGCGUGAAUAGGGUGAAGCCAGAGGAAACUCUGGUGGAGGCUCGCAGCGGUUCUGACGUGCAAAUCGAUCGUCAAAUUUGCGUAUAGGGGCGAAAGACUAAUCGAACCAUUUGCAAACAGCAAUACUAGAUGGUCAAAGGGCGGAGAGCCUUAGUCCCCACGGGGGCCACACUGCCAAACUGCGGGGAACGCCCACAGCCGGACGCCACCGCCCCCCCGCCGCGAGGUGGGAGGGGCACCCCGUUUACUCGGGGGCAUGGUAACAGCGCGCCCGGCGGGUCGAUCCGCAGCCGUCCCCCGAUCCGUCGGGGGGUGGUUCACAGACUAGACGGCGGUGGGCGCGGCGAGCGCUUAAGAUAUAGUCGAUCCAGCCCCUCA